UGCAAAAGCCAUGGAGCAGAGGGGAGAACCAGCCCCCAUAUCCCCAUUGGCCCCCAGCUUUCCAAACCCCUCAAGGAAGUAUGGCACAGCUUUGUGUGUCAGUCAUACACAGUCCAUCGUGCACCACGGUGCCGGUGCCAUCGUGUAGCUGUG